GGUACAUAGCUCAGUGGUAGAGCAUUUGCCUGGCAUGCACAAGGCCCUGGGUUCCAUCCCCAACACCA
rnacentral:tRNA from 2 species